UUUGCAGGCUGCUGGCUUUGCCCAGAUCUUUCAUUCUAGAGUGUGGGAGCAUGUCACUCACCAGUCAGUCUGUGGAGGCUCCUAGAGCCUGGAUACAGGGCUAGUCCUGGUUACCUCCUGAGCAGGGAGGCUGUGAAAGGGUAAAAGAUGACUGGUCUGGGGCUGUGAUCUUCUUUGUUUCAAUGUAUGCAUGCUUGCUGUCUCUUUGCUGGUGCUUUCAGAGAGGGAAAUGACCUCCAACAGAGAAGGGAUAAAGAAAAAAGUAAGGAAGAUCAACAUCUUGGGAAGACUGUGGUCCCUGAGGAGUAACAAUAAAAAUGUACCUUUCAGAAUGAAUGUGUGAGGGGAAUAAGGAGCUCAGAGAAGAUACCUCAUGCAGAGAAGAAACAGAGAGAGAGAAGCAGAUGGCAUGGGCUUAACACUUAAUGAAGAGAAUGGCAAAAAGAGCUGAAACCUCUUCAGGAACAACAGAGCAUCAGACGUUUUACAGCCCUUUUGCAAGAGUGGAUGACUGACAGGGCUUAGUGUAGCUUCCUGACUGUAGGAUAUGAGGAUUGAUGUAGUAUCAAACCCCUCGGGUCCAAGGAAAGUACUCAUACAGAUCCUGACUACAAUCAGAUGGCAAGGCAAAGGAUGGUACUGAUGGUACCAUGACUGGCAGUGCAAGACAGAGCAGCCAGCUAUCACUAAACACUUCUUAACCUGUUUUAUGGGCACAGCCUGACUCAAGCAUUUUAAGAAAGGGUUUAAUUGAUAUUGUGUUAUAUUGUCUGAGGCAUUUAUGGUUUUGCCCAGAAAGGUCAGAGACAACCAAACCUUCAGAGAAAGCUGCUAAAACUAUGUGGACAGUAAGACUUCUGGCUUAUCACUGCUGUCCUAGGCUCCCUUUCUGCAUGUUUAGGGAGGCAGCAGUUGUCAGUGAGAUGUAAGUCAUACCUCAAAAGAAUACUUGAAUGUAAUGGCCUUGUUGUAUUGCAGCAUUGCCCUGCUGUGAAAUGAGAAAAAUGCAUUUACUGUGCUGAGGCAGCAGGUCAGCAUCCCAAAUGUUCUCCCCUCCAACAAGCUCACUGGGUCAGAAUAAUUCUGUUUUGGAUUGUACAGGGCAGUCUCCUGGGUAACACGCUUCACAGCAAUGCUUGGGGGGAACACGCCCUUGAAUGCAAGGCAGUCAAUGAGAUUUAUAAUUACUGUGUUUUAUAACCUCGUUCAUUCAGGCAGGGAAGGAUACUGCUGAAGGGAGCUCAAACAAGAGAAAUCAUCAAUCUGCAGCUACGUAAAUAACUGUUGUUAAUGUGAUUUGAAUCCCAGAUGGCAGAAAGGGCUCUUUUGUCCACUGUGCUGUCCAGAGCCACACAAAAAAUGCACACAAUGAGUUUUAAACUCAGGUGGCUGUAGGAUGUGAAACUCUGACUUCAGCUACCCUCUUCCAGAGAAGGGGAUGUAAAAUCCACUCUGUAUCACUGAAAUCUCCUGACUGCAUUAAGCAAGGUCUUGGCUGAAGGCCAGGUCCCAGCUGUCCCUGCAGUGAUAAUGACCACUCUCCCCCAGGGUGCUGGGCACAGGCAGAAUCCAGCUGCAUUUUCACACAUGCACACAUGUAAAUUGUCUGAACAUGGUGGUGUUAAUGCUUCUGGGAUGGCAAACUGAACCUAUAGAUGUCUCAUCAACAGUGAGCCCCAUACAGAAUGCAUUUUAUUUUUGGAAAAGCCUGGAGGUAAAAAAAUAAAAUCUCCUGGUACAGUUUAUCUGAUGCUUUGUUUUUGAGUGUCCUUGAUGCGUAACAGCAUGCUAUCAUCUCUAAAGAUUAAA